GAUCCUGGCUCAGGAUGAACGCUGGCGGCGUGCUUAACACAUGCAAGUCGAGCGAAGCACUUAAGUUUGAUUCUUCGGAUGAAGACUUUUGUGACUGAGCGGCGGACGGGUGAGUAACGCGUGGGUAACCUGCCUCAUACAGGGGGAUAACAGUUAGAAAUGGCUGCUAAUACCGCAUAAGACCACAGUACUGCAUGGUACAGUGGUAAAACUACCGGUGGUAUGAGAUGGACCCGGCCGU
rnacentral:rRNA from 1 species